rnacentral:rRNA from 1 species
AUUGAACGCUGGCGGCAUGCCUUACACAUGCAAGUCGAACGGUAACAGGUUAAGCUGACGAGUGGCGAACGGGUGAGUAAUAUAUCGGAACGUGCCCAGCCGUGGGGGAUAACUGCUCGAAAGAGCAGCUAAUGCCGCAUACGACCUGAGGGUGAAAGCGGGGGAUCGCAAGACCUCGCGCGAUUGGAGCGGCCGAUAUCAGAUUAGGUAGUUGGUGGGGUAAAGGCCUACCAAGCCUACGAUCUGUAGCUGGUCUGAGAGGACGACCAGCCACACUGGGACUGAGACACGGCCCAGACUCCUACGGGAGGCAGCAGUGGGGAAUUUUGGACAAUGGACGCAAGUCUGAUCCAGCCAUGCCGCGUGCGGGAAGAAGGCCUUCGGGUUGUAAACCGCUUUUGUCAGGGAAGAAAAGGUUCUGGUUAAUACCUGGGACUCAUGACGGUACCUGAAGAAUAAGCACCGGCUAACUACGUGCCAGCCGCCGCGGUAACAC